UUGAUGGCGACCGGCCGGCACGGGUGGAGUAACGACGUAUCCAACCUAGCCCUUUACCUUAUGGACGAGCCCGUCGAAAGGCGGAUUAAUACCGUAUGUUGUCAUGUUGAUGCAUAUUUUCAUGACCAAAGGCUUCGGCCGGUAAAGGAUGGGGAUGCGUCUGAUUAGCUUGCCGGCGGGGUAACGGCCCACCGGGGCGACGAUCAGUAGGGGUUCUGAGAGGAAGGUCCCCCACAUUGGAACUGAGACACGGUCCAAACUCCUACGGGAGGCAGCAG
rnacentral:rRNA from 1 species